CAAGACAGUCCUGGAGCACUUAUGAACAAGAGCUUUAUGCCCUUGUCCGAGCACUCAAACAGUAGGAACAUUACCUCCUAUGCAGGGAAUUUGUACUCCUAACGAACCGCUUCUCUUUGAAAGAUCUCUAGUCACAAAAGAAUAUUACUCGGAUGCACGCACGAUGGAUCUCCUUCCUACAAAGGUUCGACUUUGUCAUUAGGCACCAAAAUGGUAAGGAGAACAAGGUGGCAGAUGCACUAUCCAGGAAGAGCUCCUUACUCACUAUUCUAUCCAUGGAGAUCGAGGCAUUCAAACACUUACCUAACCUAUAUGGGGAAGACGUUGACUUCGCCAUGACAUGGACCAAAUGCAGCCACUACACCAAGGCGGAAGACUUCCAUAUAAUGGAAGGAUAUCUAUUCAAAGGAGAUCAGUUGUGUAUCCCACACACAUCACUUCUAGAAGCACUACUAAAAGAGGCUCAUUCAGGAGGAUUGGCUGGACACUUCGGGCAGGAUAAAACUUUUGAAAUAAUCUUUAAGAGAUACUACUGGCCUUAAUUAAGAAGAUACUGUAACAACUUUAUUAAAAGGUGCCCUAUCUGCCAAAGAGCUAAAGGUUCAAGUAUAAACGCAGGCCUGUACUCACCAUUACCUACCCCAAUUUCCAUUUGAGAAGAUCUAUCAAUUGAUUUCGGGCUCUGAUUACCAAAAACUCAAAGGCAGUAUGACUGAGUCAUGGUUGUAGUCGACAGAUUCAGUAAAAUGGCACACUUUGUGGCUUGUAAGAAGUCAAAUGAUGCCACCUACAUAGCUAAUUUAUUCUGUCGAGAGAUAGUUCGGCUGCACGGAGUACCAAAGACCAUUGUUUCUAAUCGGGAUGUCAAGUUCCUAAGCCAUUUCUGGAAGACAUUAUGGAGCAAAUUUGACACAACCUUGAAUGAAAUAUAGCACAACAUCACACCCUCAAACAGAUGGCCAAACAGAAGUUACAAAUAGAACUGUCGACAACUUAAUAUGCUGUCUUAGUGGAUCCAAACCAAAACAGUGGGACUUAGCUCUUGCACAGUCAGAAUUCGCCUUCAACAAUAUGAAGAAUAGAUCAACCGGCAAAUGUCCAUUUGAGGUCGUAUACACAAAACAGCCAAGACUAACAACCUUUGACCUAGCAUCACUCCCCACAACUAUUGACACUAGCUCAGAAGCAGAAAAGAUGGUAGAAAAGAUUCAGAAUUUACACGAAGAAGUCCAUAACCACCUAAAAGAAUCAACUCAGUCCUACAAAAAGGCAGCAGACAAAAAGAGAAGACAAGCUACCUUUACUGAGGGAGACUUAGUAAUGAUUCACCUCAGAAAAAUUCGAUUUCCAACUGGAACACAAACUGAAAGACAGACAAUUAGGACCAUUUCGUGUCCUAGAAAAGAUUUGAGAUAACGCUUACAGAAUUGAACUACCACCAGACUUGCACAUUCAUCCUAUUUUUAACGUGGCAGACCUGAAACAGUACUAUGCCCCAGAUGAUUUCUGCCUUGUCAACUAAGUCACUCGGGUCGAGUUCCAUGCUAGGGGGUGGAAUGAUGUAAUAUAGAAUGCCAUGGCUAAACAGCUGUAGUUAGUUAGUAAAACAGUUUAAAUAAUUAAACUGUUUAGCUGUUAAGACUGCAAUUAAAACUGUUUCAUAAAAACAGUUAUUUCAACUACUUGUAACUACUUACAAUCCUCAAUAUAUACUCCAUCUCUUAGCCACUAUUGGUGGAGAAUUCAUUGUGAAAAACUAAGUCCAACUUGAAUUACAUCAGUUUAUUAAGUCUGUUGAUUUGUGGAUGAACUAAAACAUAUACAUCUUUUCUAAAAAGGAUAAAAAAAUUGCAUAAGUUUUCAUUUUCACAACUCUAUGAUUUGUGAGCAAUGCAGCAAGGAGCAGCUGGCAAACAAAUUUCUUUAUGCCAUAAAUGCGGAUGCUGGUUUUGAUCUAAGCUAAUGGAUGUUGUUGUUUUACCCUUCUUCUUGUUGAUAUACCUUUCGUAACAUCCUUUCAUCCCUAAUCUCAUCCUCGACCACAACCACUGCUUUGACCACGAUCGUCUCUCCGAAGAUUUGUGAGACAGUUCCAUUAGGUUAUGGGCACUAAGUGGUGAAACAUUGAUGGAGAUGGUUGGUGACACUUCCAUUGUGUAUUCAGUGGAUUCACAUGCUUCCGAAGUCAUUGUUAGUGGGAGUGAAGAUUGUUCGGCAAAGAUAUGGAAAGAUGGAAUUUGUGUCUAGAGCAUUGAGCAUCCUGGUUGCGUUUGGGAUGCCAAGUUUUUGGAAAAUGGAGAUAUUGUCACAGCUUGUUUAGAUGGAGUAGUACGUGUCUGGACGGCAUAACAUGAA